rnacentral:rRNA from 1 species
UACGUAGGGGGCUAGCGUUGUCCGGAAUCAUUGGGCGUAAAGAGCGUGUAGGCGGCCCGGUAAGUCCGCUGUGAAAGUCGGGGGCUCAACCCUCGAAUGCCGGUGGAUACUGUCGGGCUAGAGUGCGGAGGAGGCGAGUGGAAUUCCUGGUGUAGCGGUGAAAUGCGCAGAUAUCAGGAGGAACACCGAUGGCGAAGGCAGGUCUCUGGGCCACUACUGACGCUGAGAAGCGAAAGCAUGGGGAGCGAACAGG